UUUUGCUUAUUCUUGUUAUAAUUAUUAUGAUCUACUUUCAAUAACUUUAACUUUGUAAACUGUUGUGUAACAAUAAUGUCACAUCACAUACACCAGCAGUUACACCUGUCUAACCAGCAAGUUAUGUUAUGUACUUGUUAGGGAAUGUAACUUUCUGUUGUUUGAUGAAUUUUCAACACAGCACUAUUUAAAGUGAGACACUUCUUCUUGUUAUUAUAUUUCUGUUUUCCUUUUAGACUUGAACAGGAAGUCACAACAGUCUUUAGGAGCGUGAGGAGAAUCAGCCUUUGUAUGCACAAAUAGCAACAACUUUGGACUAAAAAACAAGACAACUGGCCCUACAGAAUAUAGGAACUUCUGACUGUUGACACAAGGUGCCACAACAUGAGAUGGAUGUGUAAAAUAUGUAGCUUUAAGUCAGAGAAGAGGUUAGGCUUGUUCAAACACUACAGACUAAAGCAUGGAAAUGGUGGUAGCAGCCCGUCAGUCCCUUGUCUUCACACUAGUUGCCCUUGCUCGUUUAAAACAUUUAAUGCUCUUAAGAUCCAU